CCCUUAGAUGUCCUAGGCUGCACGCGCGUUACAAUGGCAUUUGCAACAAGUUUUCCAUGCCCGAUGGGGCUUGGUAAUCUUUGAACGGAUGUCGUGCUAGGGAUCGAUCUUUGAAAUUAGGUCGUGAACGAGGAAUGUCUUGUAUGCGUAGCUCAUCAAGCUACACCGAAUACGUCCCUGCCCUUUGUACACACCGCCCGUCGCUACUACCGAUGAUAUUGCUAAUGAGGAAUUUGGAGGGCGGCUAUGCCUCGGCAACGGGGUUUGCUGCCCAAAGUCUUUCAAAUUAGCCGUAUUAGAGGAAGUAAAAGUCGUAACA
rnacentral:rRNA from 1 species